ACUAGACCAAACCCUAAGGUGGGUAGUUUUCUACCUCGCCGCCGUGUCUUUCCAGUCUUCGCAUCGCCUCGGUUUCUUUGUUCUCCUCUCCAAAUUAGGUUACGUUCUAUUUGCAAGCGGCGACACCGUUUGUGGAAGAGACAGGUCUUCUGCCGAGUCGCGGUGAAUGCUGCCUGCUCUGCAGGAUGGUUCGCCAUCUUCAAUGAAUCGCAACAGGCUUUGAGGAAUAUUGUGGUUGUCCAAAAGAGAAUAAGCGUAACUCUCAGAUCAAGCUCAAUGAUUCCACUGUGUGCAAGGUCAUAAAUGGUUGUCGAAUAUGUGUUGUUAAUUGUCAUUUUAUUUUAUGAUAAUGGGGAGAUUGAAGUUUGCCAACCAUAUGGCUUCUUGCUCUACUUAUGCUUUUGGUCUUAUUGCAAACAAGAUUGCGUUGCUCUUUCCUCUUCAUGCUGCCUCGGCUUUUGACCAACCACUUGUGAAGAGUUCUUUCAAAGAGUUCAGUCUCCAAAGCAUCAUUAGGGAACGACCCUCUCAACUUCCCACAAUUAUAUGUAUAUGAUUUGGAGUAGAACUGAUACUAAUAUUAAUUUUUGUGCUUCACUUGUAGAUUCCUUUUCCACCAUCAAAAGUAUUAUUUUAGUCUUUGAGAUCCCACUUGCACUCUUACCUUAUGCUGAUGAUGCUACUUUGGAUCAUAAAGAUGCGCCCGUCCAAUGGUAGAAAAUGGGAUCUAGUUCUAUUUGUACAUUGAUGGUGGUGCACAUUUCUGUUGUACUGCAUUGACACAGUGCUGCGGUGAAUGAUGAUUGAUACAAAAAUAUUGUACCUGUAUUUAAGUUUUUUCUUUUGGGGGGGAUAUAUAACGAGCAAAGAGUUUGAUGUGAUAUAGACAAGGAAUAAUGCACUGUUGGAGAAAUAUAGGAUGAGCAAGGAGUGCUGCGUUUUGUUUGGCACCAAGAGGGUGGUGCAGGGUAAAAUUAGAUGAGGUGCACACCUCACUAAGUAGGUUCAGGGCUUUGAGUGUGCCAUGUGUGUUGGUGAUUAUUCGGAGGAACACGAAUAAACUGUGGUUUAAUAAAUCAAUAGUUAACCGCCGUUCUUAUU